CUGGGGUCCCAUGCUGCUGACCCACCUCUGAUGGAGAAGCAGCCACCCCCUCCCAGCAGGCUCUUUAGUGAAGAAUCUCCAGGGCCAGGCUGGCCAAGGCUGGUACUCAAUAGCUGUGGCUUCAGCUGCACAAGAGGAAUUUUCCACUGCCAGGUUCUAUUCAGCUCACGCCACCUCCUGUUUACAGCGAGCAGAAAGGUGCAGCCACCCCCACCCCCACGCUGGGCGCAGCCUCGGUGGGACGCGAGGGUGGGUAAUGGGAGUGUCCUGGCCCUGACAGCUGCCCCUGGAGUGCUGAGAUGCAGAGGCGCUGUACCCGAAGAGGAGCAGGACCCGGUGGCUGCCCUGCCUUCCCGACUCCCUCCUUCCCUGAUGCUCCCUUGCCUGGGACUGAGAGAUGCCCCGCGUGGGUGCAGGGCCUGCAGGGAGAACUCAGAGAAUAUAGGACUUUAAGACCCCGAACUCAGAUUCUACAAUGCCCAAGGGACCAAGAGAGAGCCAACUUCUAAGGUCUAAGCCAGAAGCUCCCAACUCCUGUGCCGCACUUCCAGAACCUUCUCAGCUCACUUCUAAGGUAACAGUUGAUCUGAGGGACAGCAACUGGCUAACUGGAAAGCUGAAGGGUUCUGUAACAGGAACAAGCUGGUGGGUAAGUAAAAAGAGUAAUGAACUAAAAGAAGAAACCUCUUCAGCCUCCUGGACACACCCAUGCUGAAGAGGUUGUUGGAAGAGAGUAUGUCUGCAUUAGAGACAGAAGUUGUAUGCCAAGAGAGCGAGAGCCUGGAUUUUGACCAACCGGGAGAAAGACUGACUCCCUAUUGUAUCUCCAGGGCUCUUGACUCUCCUCUGUCUUUGAGUGUCCCCUACUAAGCCCACACUUCAGAGACUGGUACCUCCACUCUUAACAGGCUGAAAACAGCCCAAGGAAGCCUCAAAGCUGACGUCUUGUAUACCACUUGUAUGCUUCAGUUUCCACCAGCAGGGACUCACAAAGAUUGCAUCUUUUGAUCAGUUAUGGGACCAGAACCUUGAAGAGGACCUGCAGAGGUAGCCACUGACAAAACUGCUUAACAAGAUAAAUCCUUGGGGGCCAAAGUGGUGGCUCAGAGGUUAGGAGCACUGGCUGCUCUUUCAGAUGACCUGGGCUUAAUCCCCAGCACCCACAUAAUGGCUCACAACUGUCUGUAACUAAAGUUCCUGACAUAGACAUACAUAUGCAGGCAAAACCAACAAUGCACAUAAAAAUAAAUGAAUAAAUAUUUUUUAAAAGAUGAA